GGGCGCUGCUGGCUUCAGAAGCUUCAAGUCGUCUUGUUUCUUCUUGGUCAUGCUACUGUAAGUUUGUGAAAGUCCAGCGAAGGCCUCCUGGUGCAUAAUCGUUAUCGGCUUUAAGAGAGCUUGGUGAGAACAAACGGUGGGAUGGAAAACGACAGCCAAUUAUUCCUCUCGUCAACCGGGGUGGAAUCAGGUUGGAGAGGCUGUGCCAUCUGUGAUACUGCUGGAGUGCAGAGUUAAUAAGCCCCAGUGUAGAUCAAACGCACAACGCUGAAGCUUACACACGAAAGCCAUGUACACACAUUCUCACAUGCACACAAAUAUUCAAAUGCAAUGCUAGGUUGCCUUGAUGAAUGCUGGCCAAUUUGUGGCUAUUGACUUAA